CCUACGGGUGGCAGCAGUGGGGAAUAUUGCACAAUGGGGGAAACCCUGAUGCAGCAACGCCGCGUGAGUGAAGAAGUAUUUCGGUAUUUAAAGCUCCAUCAGUAGGGAAGAAAAUGACAGUACCUGACUAAGAAGCCCCGGCUAACUACGACCCAGCAGCCGCGGUAAUACGGAGGGGGCAAGCGUUAUCCGGAUUUACUGGGUGUAAAGGGAGCGUAGACGGCUGCGCAAGUCAGAAGUGAAAGCCCGGGGCUCAACCGCGGGACGGCUUUUGAAACUGUGUAGCUAGAGUGCAGGAGAGGUAAGUGGAAUUCCUGGUGUAGCGGUGAAAUGCGUAGAUAUCAGGAGGAACACCGGUGGCGAAGGCGGCUUACUGGACUGUAACUGACGUUGAGGCUCGAAGGCGUGGGGAGCGAACAGGAUUAGAUACCCCGGUAGUC
rnacentral:rRNA from 1 species